rnacentral:tRNA from 1 species
GCGCCCUUAACUCAGCGGAUAGAGUACCUUCCUUCUAAGAAGGUGGUCGCAGGUUCGAAUCCUGCAGGGCGCACCA